rnacentral:lncRNA from 1 species
UAUUUAUCAAAAAUAAGCUAAGUUGUGAUACCAUUAACUCCCACUGCCUGAUUAUGGAGCUCAGAUACAAAAAGCACUCUAAUCAAUCCAGUCUGCAGCUUAAAUAAGAGUAUGUGAUGAAUUAGUUGAGUAGAACCAGGCCAUAAGGACAACAACAAUUAAUAGCAAAGCAUUCACCUUCACUUCAGUACAUGUACAUGGGUGUGUACACAUAUGCACCUUGAAAACAGAUUAACACAGUACUCACUCUGAGUGACAUAAAGGUCCUCUGUUGACUUAUCCUCAUGCCCAUCAAAGUCUCUGCUGGCGAGCUGCCUGUUGGCUGUCUCCAGUCGUUCACGGAGAUCCCUGUUGAAAUCAUGAAGUCUCCUAAUUUCUCCUUCCAGUUUGUUUCUCAUCGCUUUGUCCAGAGACUCCCUCUUAGUGGUGGUCUUGACCAGGCCCUCAUAAGCUUCUGAAAUCCUCUGAAUCUCUAUUUCAAACUUCUGCAGCUUGUCUGCCUUCUCAU